CCUACGGGUGGCAGCAGUGGGGAAUAUUGCACAAUGGGGGAAACCCUGAUGCAGCGACGCCGCGUGAGUGAAGAAGUAUUUCGGUAUGUAAAGCUCUAUCAGCAGGGAAGAAAAAAGUCGGUACCUGACUAAGAAGCCCCGGCUUACUACGUGCCAGGAGCCGCGGUACGACGUAGGGGCCAAGCGUUUACCGGAUUUACGGGGUGUAAAGGGAGCGUAGGGGGAGAAGCAAUUCGGAAGUGAAAGCCCGGGGCUUAACUCCGGGACUGCUGUGGAAACUGGUUGACUAGAGUACGGGAGAGGUAAGCGGAAUGCCUGGUGUAGCGGUGAAAUGCGUAGAUAUUAGGAAGAACACCAGUGGCGAAGGCGGCUUACUGGACAGAAACUGACGUUGAGGCUCGAAAGCGUGGGGAGCGAACAGGAUUAGAUACCCGAGUAGUC
rnacentral:rRNA from 1 species